AGCAGCCGCGGUAAUUCCAGCUCCAAUAGCGUAUAUUAAAGUUGUUGCAGUUAAAAAGCUCGUAGUUGAAUUUCGAGACCGGUCUACUGGUCGUGCUUUUGUACGUUCUGGUAUAAUCGGUUUCUCUCUUCUGACGAACUAUAAUGCCAUUAAUUUGGUGUUUUAGGGAAUCAGGACUGUUACUUUGAAAAAAUUAGAGUGUUUAAAGCAGGCUCACGCUUGAAUACAUUAGCAUGGAAUAACGAAAUAGGACGUUUGAUUCUAUUUUGUUGGUUUCUAGGAUCGACGUAAUGAUUAAUAGGGAUAGUUGGGGGCAUUAGUAUUCAAUUGUCAGAGGUGAAAUUCUUGGAUUUAUUGAAGACUAACUACUGCGAAAGCAUUUGCCAAGGAUGUUUUCAUUAAUCAAGAACGAAAGUUAGGGGAUCGAAGACGAUCAGAUACCGUCGUAGUCUUAACCAUAAACUAUGCCGACUAGGGAUCGGAUGAUGUUAAUUUUUUAAUGACUCAUUCGGCGCCUUACG
rnacentral:rRNA from 1 species